UGACAUGUGAGUUGACGUAAAUUCAAACGGCUGAUCAUAAAAUGUAUACAUACCUAUAUAUAAGAAUGUUUAUUCCAACUUAAGUCAUUGUACUCGUAGUUUUAAUUGAACUUGUGAAGUACCUAUAGGUACAUAUUUAAUAGUUUUCGCGUGGAUAAAGUACUAUAUUAUUGAAGGGUCGAUACAGAGAGAAUCAGGAUGAUUGCAGAAAAUCUCAUCAUUCGGAUCAUAGUAAUAACCUGUGCAUUGUUGAUUUUUUUCGAUAACGUGAAUUUUGUGAAUGCGAAGAAAGACGUAUACGAUCAUUGUGAUUAUUCUGCAUGCGUAAAGCUAUGUGAAUCGCAGUAUCCAGGGUCUGGAUAUCCGGGGUUAUUGGCACCUGCCUCAGGAGUUUGCGAUGCUGAUAACUUCUGUCAAUGUUUCAGAAUUAACAAUGAUGGGAUGAGUACAUAUAACCUAAAUCAUAAUAACUAACAAAAGCAUUAGACAGUAAGACGUUCAACUAUGAAUUCAUUUUGCUGCGUAAAUUAACUUUAUCAGGCAGGUAUCUAUUUAAUUAUUAAAUGUUUCGCGCAUCAUGUAAUUAUUCCUUCGUUAUGAAUUAAGCCGCACUUUGAAAGAAAAAAUAAUUAUUUGUCUUGCUCUUCGGCAUAUAACUCAUGUACUUAGGUAAUUAAAACCCUGAAAUGUAAUAACGAGAAAUAAUGAGAUAGUUUUUUCAUAAGAAUUGCACCAUCGAGUCAAUUCUUCCUUCAUCCACUCUCCUUCCCUCAAAACCGAAGUGCGCCAAUUUAUGAAGAAAUUGAAUUAAAGUGAAAAUUGAUUUAUUUUUGGAUCGGUAUCAUUUGCCACUCACAAAGAAAGUGGUGUCAUGAUGUUGAACGUGAUAAAAAAAAAACACUCAAUAGCAAAAAGGCACUAAAAUAACUCUGUCUCGACAAUUAUACGAGUAAUUUAUCAUGUAGGUACAGCAGUCUAAAAAAAUUUUCAUCACGAUGUCAUAAGAUUCACUUAAGAUCAACUUCUACUUAUUGGUUUCAAAAUCCAGUUGUGUAGCCAUGUCACAAUUCUUAUCCAACUAUGGUCUUUCCAACAGAAAAUGGAUUUAAAAAAUUCAACUUUUUUGAAUUUCAAAUAAAAUGUUUAACAAUAAGUAGGUACCCAAGUUUGUGCCAUGUGAUGUUAAAAGUGAAAGUGAGCUCAAUUCACAUUUUCAAAGCCUUUAGCCAUAUAUGUAGUACAAUAUACUGCGUGGUGAUUUCUGAAAUUCACUAUCAACUGUAUAGUUGCCCAAUGCACGUGGGUCUCAUUUCAUCAUAAUGCCUCCUCCACCCUGUGUACCUACUCGAUGUUAAAAGAAAGAAAUCAUUUAUGUAACGAAAAAGUGUUCAUAUCAAAUGACGCACACGAUCAUUAUUACAUUGUGUUUUUCAACUACACAUAUUACGAGCAGGUACCUAAAGAAAUCGCGAAGACAACUCAAGCUGUAAAAUGACAUCAACUCUGAUUACGCUGAAUGUGAAUUUCAAAAACUGCAGAAAAUUUUGGAUACUUACCCAACACAUUUAUCACUGAUGGACAGUUCCUGCAAUUCCUUGCGCAAUAAAAUGGUGUUACAAACCAUGAAACAUUUUCAUUUUUUUUAUCAAUUAAAAAAAAUGUAUACUUACCUAUCAUAUUAUUGAAAUUACACAAUGUAUGUAAAAUAACAUGACAUAUAAGUUGACGCAAUUCCAAAUGCCUGCCCAUAAAAUGUAGGUAUAUAAGAAUGUUUCCUCCAACAAAAGUCAUCGUAGUUUUAAUUAAACUUGUGAUAUUAAAGAAAUACUCGUUCAUUAAAAGCCAACGUUUUUUUUUGCUGUACCUAUAUAUAUUUAUUAGUUUUCGCGUGAAUAAAGUAUACUUUAUUGAAAGGUCUACAGGAAGAAUCAGGACGAUUGCAGAAAAUCCCAUUAUUCAGAUCAUAACAAUAACCUGCACAUUGUUGAUUUUUUUCAAUAACGUGAAUUUUGUGAGAGCAGGAGAGGACGUAUACGACAGUUGUGAUUAUGGAAAAUGCCAAGACCUAUGUGCACAACAGUAUCCAGGGGGCCCUUUUGAGACACUGCAACAAGGCUCAGCAGUUUGCGAUUCCAAUAACUUCUGUCAAUGUUACAGAAUUAACAAUGAUGGAAGUACAUAUAACUUAAACCAUAAUACAUAACUAACGAAACCACCAAAAAGUAAGAAGUUCAACCAUGAACUCAUUGUGCUGCAUAGAUUAACCUUAUCAAGUAUCUACAUAUGUACAGGGUGCCCAGAAAUAUCGAGUACCCCAAAGAAAGUUUUUCAUUAAAAAUAUAGGUUGGCAACUUGAAAUAUGUAGAUGCAUAUGAUUGGUGGAAUGUUAUCUCUCCAGUCCAACAACCAAUCAUGUGCUAUCAUUAUUAUCAUUCACUGUGACCAACCAACGUACGUAUUUUAGUAGAAAACUUUUUUAGGGGUACUCGAUAUUUCUGGGCACCCUGUACAUCUAUGUAGGUAUGUACCUAAUUAUUAGCCGAUUCAUGCACAUGUAAUUAUUUCUUCGUUGUAGAAUUAUACCGCACUUUGAAAAUUAU